GCCGUAUAGCCAGGAGGAAGAGGAGCUCGGCCACGCUACAGGGAAGUGGAGGUGAGGGGGGAGUAAAAAAACAUAGGAAGGGGAGGGAGGGAGUAAAAAAAACAUGGGGAGAGGGGGAGUAAAAAAAAACAUAGGGAGGGAGUGAAAAAAACAUGGGGAGGGAAGUAAGAAGGACAGGGGGAGGAGAGUAAGAAGUGUCUCAGUGGUAUAUUGGACCUUGGAGUGUC